AAUAAAAGCUUUAUUAAAUUUAAUUUUUUUUAUAUUGCCCUGGUUGCACGGCAUCAUCGUGCAACCCUAGAAACAGGAAGGUUUUAACGACUUUUUCUUCCUGUUCUUAGGUAAAACUAAUAACUACACAGAAGAAUAGCUUCAUCUUCAGAAUGUAAGUAGAAAUUUAGUCUAUUUAGUUUAAAUUAGCUUGUUAAUAAAAGUUAGUAUAUAUAAUUUAGAAAUAGUGAAGAUAUAAGGUUUAUACCUCAUUGACUAUUUUUUACUCUCCCGAUAUUAUUUAGUCAUUUCUUAUGGAAGCAUUUCUUAUUCGCAUAUUUAGAAAUAAUUAUUUUUUUGUGAGAAAAUAAUUUACAAAGAGGUGGCAAGCCACCAGAAUGAUGAACUCAACCUGUUAAGUCUUUGGAAAUAAGCUAGAGGUUGUACUCCCCUAGAGAAAAUGCCUCUAAAAGCACAAUUCUCCCUUUUUACAAGGAUUUAAUUAAUAAAAUAUAAAAAAAAUAAAAAGGACACAACACAUUUGAAAAGAUGAACAGAACUUUAACCAAGGGCAGGUAGGUUUCGACCCAUAUUUCUGAACCUAAGUACCCUGGAUGUCUAGCUGCGUCACCUCGAAGAGGUCCGCGGACGGUCAUCAGCAGAAACUAGACAUCCCUAUCUUCCUAAAGUAAACUUUGGCCACUUUCUGUUCAACUGUGCUAUUAAAAGAGUACAAACACCUUAAAAGUAGUCAGAGGGACUAAAGUGAAAGGUAAUUCAUUCCAAAUAUAUUAUCGAUAGUUGCGGACUUUGAAAACCAGUUCUUGUCUCUUUGUUACCAUUGCCAUGUGCUAAUACAACAUUCCUUGUAUAUAUGAAGAACAAGAGACGGAAGAUUUGUUACCGGAAAAAGUCAAGCAUUUUUACAAAGACAACCAGUUGGGCGUACGUGUCCGAUCUAACAUAUAUAUAAGAUAGGAAUCUGACGCGAAGUUCAUUUAUAUACGAACCAUAACUGAGUAAAGGAUAGUGCUGUUUUUGCCGAUAUAAAACAAGACCUAUUAACAGACGCUGGGAAAUAUUGAAAUCAGACUGAUGUUGUGAAUAGCGUUGUUUGGAAAUCACUGCUAUACACGCUUUUUUUAUAAGAAUACACUCUAUAAGAAUAUGGAGCCUGAGGAAUGGGUUAAGAAUAUCCUAAGAACAUACCCAGGCUCGAUCUUUCGUUUUAGAUAUAAAAAUUUUUGUGAUGCACAAAUUUUCAUUAGAAGUUUAAUUUCUUAUACUGUAUGUUUAUUUUCUUGUCAGCUCACCUGUCUUUUACACUUUGUUUAAUUAGGCACAUUAAGGUAAUUUCAUGCUUUCCGGCUGUAGCCAUGUUAAGAAUAUUUUAAAGAAUAUUCGAGGCUUAGAUUUGUCAAAAAGUUAAAAAUACUGAGGCUGAAACGGAAAAACACUAUUCUUAUAAAAAAAAAGCGUGUAAAUUUGUAAUUUUUCGUUUCCGAUUUCAGAUCAAGAAAUUUUUAAACAAAACUUGUAAACACUUAUUGGUAGUUGAUAUCAUGAAACAGUUAAUAAUACUACUAAUAAAAAUAACCAGUCGAAAAGCUUGUGUUUUUUCAGGAGUUUCGAUGACGUGAGCAAUAUAUACUUAAAAAACAUUUUAGGAAAGUUGUUUUCCCGUUCCCACUAAUAUAGGAAGCUUACUGCGCUGGUUAAAAAAUGUAGUGCUUUUGACGACCUACUCAGGGGAUGUAGGGGUUUAAAAAAUCUGCUAACGUCAGCGAGGACCUGCCGAAAUUGUAUACUGUAUAGAGCCUUAAAUCAAUGAUCAAGGAAAUGUAUAUGAUCAUUUCGACGAACUGUUAAAGACGAUAUAUUAGGGUUUUAAGGUAUUUUAAAGACUUCACUAUCGGUCAGUUCGAAUGGGUUGACCCAGGAGAUUAAUUUCAUUUUGGUCCUACGGGGUCCAUUACUAAUCGCACAGGAGGUGACGUUAUUUAUGUGUAUUAAUUUCCAACUUAUUUGGCCUUGCACUAAGAAGGGCAAUGCAAUAGUUUCACCAACUUUAAUAAUAUCACUGACGUCAAUCUUCGUAAUUACGUAAUGAUUAGAGUCGAUCUUCAAACUUGCGUAAUCUCCUGGAGUAAAAAGAGUUUUAGAAAGGCAAAUAUUGUUCAGUAUUCUGAAUCACAGAUAAACUUUUCGUAUUCAUAACAGUACAAUCGACCAGAAUGAAAGAAGCUCUUAAAAUCCGAAUAUACACAUACACCACGAAUUUAAUCAUAACACACCUUGUAUUAGGGGUCUAACGAUUUUUUAAACUGUUUUAACAUUCACAGCUUAAUACCCAAUUAAAUAUUUUCUUGCCUAAGAUAUAUGAAAAAAUACGAAUUGAUAUGACAUUGGCUAAAACGUACGUGAACAAGUUGUUAAUCGAAACGUAAAACCGUAUUGGUUUGUAUCCGAGUAAGAUUUCGCUACGACCUAUACAACUAGGAAUUUGCAAUGUUCCAGAAAUCCGUCAACCUUAAUGUGCAUAGAAAUCCUCUUGGGUUUGUCCAAAUUUGUAUGGUUUAUUAAGUGUUUAGCUGGCCACUCUCAGAAUUAUCCAACGACGUUCGGACGUCAUGGACCACGCCAGCCGAGCGUAUUGGUCACAUGAAAGAUCGCGAACUUAAGGAAUAAUUGCCGUGACUUCGAUUAAUUAAUGAGAAUAAUUGAAAUAAAAAUGACUCAAUUGCAAUGCUGAAUAUCCGCCUUAUUUUACCCGGAUGUGCUUUUUUCAUACAGGCUGUUUUCAUACACUUCUGCAUUCACUCUAUCCAAUAAGAAAUAGGAUCGAAAACUCCCGCCAUAGAAGUAAUACUAUUUAAUCUGUUCUACGUUUAGUUCUAUUUUAGAUUUUAGAGCAAUAUGACAAGCAUUCAUGUAUGUAUCUGGUUUCUGUCACUAUUACGUUUCAUUUUAAAUGCUUCUACUCACGCACGUCAUACUUUCAAAGUCUUUCUUCGUAAUUAAUUUGUAUUCUUUUUAUUUAGAGCAAAAAAAUAAUUUGCCGAACAGGCACAAAGAAAAUCUAAUGACAUAACCUCUUUAAAAAAUGAACUGGAUUUUGUAAGAAGCACCCUUGUAAGAUUUACAGAAAAGUCAACCUCGUUAAAAAAUCAAUUGAAGAAGAUAUUAACUUGGCAAGUUUUUAAGAAGAACGUGGACGAAAACAGGUCUGUUGGCGCUUACGUGUGUGAAGAGAAUUUUCACCUGUGGCGUGCUUUCAGGGGGAAAAGACUUUUUCACCCGGGAGGAUGCCGCACGUGAAAAACGCAGGCGCAAGCGGUAACAGACCUGUUUUCGUCAUUUGCAUAUAUGUUGUAAGCCUCCCUGGUUGUAUAUAUG